CCUAGAAACUAUCUAAGGUGCAACCUGCCCAGUGAUUUUAAUAAAAGUUGAUUAAUUUUGACUAAAUAAAUUAAAAGGACGCGGUAUUCUUGACCGUGAUAAUGUAGCACAAUCAUGCGCCGCUUAAUUAGCGGAUAGUAUGAAUGGUCACACGAAAAUUUAACUGUCUUAAAAAAUAAUUUACUAAAAAUUUAAUUAAUAGUUAAGAUGCUAUUUACAUUUGUAAGACGAUAAGACCCUAUAAAGCUUAACUAUAAAACCUUAUUAAUUUUAAUAAAUUAAUUAAUCAAGGUUCUGGUAGUUUCAUUGGGGCGAUGGCCUUUUAAAAAAAACAAAGGUAAGCAAAAUUAAAUGAAAUAAUAAUUUAUUGUAUAAAAAAUUAUUUUAACAAUUACAAAGUAGGCCAAAAUGACCCGUUAAAUUAAAAGAAUUUUACUUAACGAUCAAUAAAUAAAAGCUACUUUAGGGAUAACAGGGUAAAAUUGUCCUAGAGCUCUUAUUAAAGACAAAACUUACCACCUCGAUGUUGAAUUAAGAUACCCCGACGAAGCAGAAAUUGUCAAAGGUAGGUCUGUUCGACCUAUAAAAU
rnacentral:rRNA from 1 species